rnacentral:rRNA from 1 species
UGAGUACGAGAUGCUACGGCAUCGAAGCAGUCUAUGUCAUACUUCCAAGAAAAGCUUGCAAUGUCAUAAACAAAUAAUGCCUGUACCAUAACCGACACAGGUGGGUAGGUAGAGUAUACUAAGGGGCGCGAGAUAACUCUCUCUAAGGAACUCGGCAAAAUGACUCCGUAACUUCGGGAGAAGGAGUGCCUUAUUUUUAUAAGGUUGCAAUAACAAGAUCCAAGCAACUGUUUACCAAAAACACAGGUCUCCGCUAAGUCGUAAGACGAUGUAUGGGGGCUGACGCCUGCCCAGUGCCAGAAGGUUAAAGAAGUUGGUUAGCAUUAGCGAAGCUGAUAACUGAAGCCCUGGUGAACGGCGGCCGUAACAAUAACGGUCCUAAGGUAGCGAAAUUCCUUGUCGGGUAAGUUCCGACCCGCACGAAAGGCGUAAUGAUUUGGAUACUGUCUCGGAGAGGGGCUCGGUGAAAUAGACUUGUCUGUGAAGAUGCGGACUACCUGCACCUGGACAGAAAGACCCUAUGAAGCUUUACUGUAACUUGAGAUUGAAAUUGGACUUUAUCUGCGCAGUAUAGGUGGGAGACGUUGAAAAUAUUCUUGCGGGAAUAUUGGAGUCAUCAGUGAGAUACCACUCUUAUAAUGUUAGAUUUCUAACUUUGUAUCAUUAUCUGGUCAAAGAACAGUUUCAGGCGGGCAGUUUGACUGGGGCGGUCGCCUCCCAAACGGUAACGGAGGCGCACAAAGGUUUCCUCUGAACGUGUAGAAAUCGUAUCUAGAGUGUAAAGGCAUAAGGAAGCUUGACUGUGAGACCUACAAGUCGAGCAGGGACGAAAGUCGGUCUUAGUGAUCUGACGGUGCUGAGUGGAAAGGCCGUCACUCAACGGAUAAAAGUUACUCUAGGAUAACAGGCUGACCUCCCCCAAGAGUUCACAUCGACGGGGAGGUUUGGCACCUCGAUGUCGGCUCAUCGCAUCCUGGGGCGGUAGUACGUCCCAAGGGUUGGGCUGUUCGCCCAUGAAAGCGGUACGCGAGCUGGGUUCAGAACGUCGUGAGACAGUUCGGUCCAUAUCCGGUGUAGGCGUUAGAAUAUUGAGAGGAGCCUUCUUUAGUACGAGAGGACCGAGAAGGACAUACCUCUGGUGUACCAGUUAUCGUGCCAACGGUAAACGCUGGGUAGCCAUGUAUGGAGAGGAUAACCGCUGAAAGCAUCUAAGUGGGAAGCCCACCUCAAGAUAAGUAUUCUC